rnacentral:lncRNA from 1 species
UCAAGCUUAACUUUGACAAUGUGUUGAAAGUAUGUUUAAUUACCCUCCUUAAUCGAGGGAACAUUCAUAGAAUAGGAUUUACGUAAAAAGUCAGCAAAAUCAGACAUUGUUGGCGGCGCCACUUCCUCACCCUCCACUCUAUUCCCAUUUGAGUCAUAGAUAGCCAUAAUGACCUGGCUCUAUUGGAGUUGACCUUCUUGUGAAAAAAGGAGGUGUUGCUGUCCCCCAAUUGCAACCAUUGGACCCGUGUUUUCUGCUUCAAAAAUGUCUCCUCAGCAGAGCGAAACUUGAGAAGAUGUUUUCUGGCUUCUUGCUCCAGACAUUUCAACUGAGUAUCAUUUGGAUUAUCAUGUCUACUCUGCUGAAUUUGAUAUGAUAUAAAUCCUUCCUUGCUUUCUACACCCUCAAAGAAAUAUCACUGAAUUAACUUCUAUUUAACACCUUUCAAAUUGGCUUCAGUCUCCUAAGUUUCAGAGAGACCUUAAGUAUAGGACUACCAUGAACUUCCUGGUCCCAUGACUCCUUGAUAUUUAUUAACUAGGCAAAAGUUUG